UACGUAGGGGGCAAGCGUUGUCCGGAAUCAUUGGGCGUAAAGAGCGUGUAGGCGGCCCGGUAAGUCCGCUGUGAAAGUCCAGGGCUCAACCCUGGGAUGCCGGUGGAUACUGUCGGGCUCGAGUCCGGAAGAGGCGAGUGGAAUUCCUGGUGUAGCGGUGAAAUGCGCAGAUAUCAGGAGGAACACCAAUGGCGAAGGCAGCUCGCUGGGACGGUACUGACGCUGAGACGCGAAAGCGUGGGGAGCAAACAGG
rnacentral:rRNA from 1 species